GAGACCCACGCCCACAGUUGCCAGCGUUCCCUCCGGGGAGAUGGGUACUCUGUGGGGACCGCCGCUGCUAAAGCGGAGGAAGGAAUGGGCAACGGUAGGUCAGUAUGCCCCGAAUGUCUCGGGCUACACGCGCGCUGCAAUGCGUAAGGCAAUGAGAUGCGACAUCGAAAGAUGAAGCCAAUCCCCUAAACUUACGCUCAGUUCAGAUCGAGGGUUGCAACUCACCCUCGUGAAGCCGGAAUCCCUAGUAACUGCGUUUCAUCAUGGCGCAGUGAAUAC
rnacentral:rRNA from 1 species